GUUGCCACGUUCGCCUGAUUUUUUUCCUCUUUCUCUUUGCUUUGUUUGAGAUCCUCCAUUCCUCCUCCUCCCUUCGCGUCAAGAGUCAUGACCACCCAUCAGUUUCCUCGGUUUCUGUUUAUCCGAUCAAAAUGUUUCGUCGGCCUCUACUCCUCUGUCGUGAUUCCGGCAUCAAGACCUCUCUCAUAAGGGAUACGGGUUUCAUAUAAGUUUCCUCUUAUCAAGUAAAGAUGACAACUUCGGAAGAGAAUAGUUCACUGUUUCCUAUAUUUAUUUUGACUACGAUGGCACUCCCUUUAGUGCCUUAUACAAAUUCAAAACUGUGUUGUUUUGCGAAGAAGGUGAAAAGCUUACAUUGUCAAUGUGUCGUAUGCCCUCGCUCUGGAAAAUACCAUAAAUCACUAUUGAAAAGGGUUUCAAACUUCUCCACUUGUAGUAACAUGACACUUGUGUUGCUGUGGGUCUUUAUGGCCUUCUUGAUUUAUUACAUAAAAUAUAUGAGUGCUGAGGUUCAAGUUUUUGAGCCAUACAACAUUCUUGGUUUGGAAUCUGGAGCUUCUGAUCCAGAAAUUAAAAAGGCUUAUAGGAAAAUUUUCUAUUCCUUACCAUCAUGACAAAAAUCCAGAUCCUGAGGCUAACAAGUAUUUUGUGGAGUUUAUUUCAAAAGCUUACCCGUCCAUGACUGAUCCCGUUUCCCGCGAGAAUUAUGAAAAGUAUGGUCAUCUAGAUGGGAGACGGGUACAUUAUCUUAUUCUGUUUAAAAUGUGUUGAGUAUAUCAUCAAUUUUGUGAGUUCAUGUCUUUCUCAGCCAGUCAUCCAGGCAUAUAUUGAGCAUCUCAUUGCAGUUAUUGUCUUGAAUGUCCGCAGGGAUUCCAAAUGGGAAUUGCUCUCCCGCAUUUCCUAUUAAAUAUUGAAGGUGCAUCUGGCGGGAUACUAUUAAUUUGGAUUGUUGGAAUCUGUAUCUUGUUGUCGUUGGUCAUAACUCUUUUCUAUCUCUCAAGGUCAUCUAAGUACUUAGGGAACUAUGUCAUGCAGUAUCUCUCAACUGUUUGCAAUUUGUUAGGUUCGUUUGGAAAAUUAGAUAAAAAGGCUAACAAAUACGCAAUGAUUCAAUUGUAUGUAGUACUACUAUUUGCAUCAGGUUUUAGUUAAAUGACAAGGGUUACAGUUGUCCGUCGUAUACUUAUCUUCAUUGUUAUCACUGCCAUAACCCACAAAUUAACAAAAUACAGAAUAAGUUUAUAAGGUUUUAGUGGAAAAGUGAUGGGGAAUGGGGUGCUUGAGUGUCAAUCUUAUGCUUAGCUGAUUUGAUCUUAAAGGAAAUAAAUUAGGGAUGCCAAAGAUAAGACAAUUAUUAACACCAGAAAACAAAAUUUGUGAGUUAAAGGGAGAAUAGGGAGUCUCAUAAUUGGUUAUAGGGUUAUCUAGAGCAUGCAUGAAUGUAUGUUCUCUUUGGGAAUACUUUGCAGCCAAUCUGUUGCUUCUUAGUGACGAGGUUUUGGAUCUUCUAAGGAAAUUUCUGUACAAGUAGCUGGAUGCCAAACAUUAACUCGAUUAAUCUAUAGUCAGAGACUGAUAACACUUAUGCCCGCAAUAUCGCAAAUCUUGUUAACAAAGUCUGCAUGUUAGCUCGGGAAACGGGGGCAGAAUAUCAGAAACAUUCCUUGAGAGCCUCAUGCAUACAGUGCCUUUCAGUUAUG